GCUCUGGUGGCCUAGUGGUUAGAGCGUCCGCCUCAGAUGCAGGAAGUCGUGGGUUCGACUACAUGUCAGCAGCA